CAGCCGCCGCGGUAAUGCGUAGGUGGCAAGCGUUGUCCGGAAUUAUUGGGCGUAAAGGGCUCGCAGGCGGUUUCUUAAGUCUGAUGUGAAAGCCCCCGGCUCAACCGGGGAGGGUCAUUGGAAACUGGGAAACUUGAGUGCAGAAGAGGAGAGUGGAAUUCCACGUGUAGCGGUGAAGUGCGUAGAGAUGUGGAGGAACACCAGUGGCGAAGGCGACUCUCUGGUCUGUAACUGACGCUGAGGAGCGAAAGCGUGGGGAGCGAACAGGAUUAGAUACCCCAGUAGUCCCUGUCUCUUAUAC
rnacentral:rRNA from 1 species